GCCCCCAAAAACGAAAGUGUGACGGGGUUACCCAAAGUGUUCUCUUUAGGACUGUGGUAAGUGAGUAAUGUCCCCUUUUAGAAAGGAGAGGGCAAGGCUGGUGCCAGCCGCCGCGGUAAAACCAGCUCUUCAAGUGGUCGGGAUAAUUAUUGGGCUUAAAGUGUCCGUAGCCGGAUUGGAAAGUUCCUGGUAAAAUCGGGUAGCUUAACUAUUCGCAUGCUAGGAAUACUAUCAUUCUAGAGGGCGGGAAAGGUCUGAGGUACUACAGGGGUAGGGGUGAAAUCUUAUAAUCCUUGUAGGACCACCAGUGGCGAAGGCGUCAGACUGGAACGCGCCUGACGGUGAGGGACGAAAGCCAGGGGAGCGAACCGGAUUAGAUACCCGGGUAGUCCUGGCCGUAAACGAUGCAUACUAGGUGAUGGUAUGGCCAUGAGCCAUAUCAGUGCCGUAGGGAAACCGUUAAGUGUGCCGCCUGGGAAGUACGGUCGCAAGGCUAAAACUUAAAGGAAUUGGCGGGGGA
rnacentral:rRNA from 1 species